rnacentral:tRNA from 1 species
UAGGAAGUGGUGUAGAGGAAGCACUGAGAGUUUUGAUCUCUCCAGGUAGGGUUCAAAUCCCUUCUUUCUAA